rnacentral:lncRNA from 13 species
CAUGUGGGAGACCAGAGAAUGCACAUUCUCCAGCAAGUCUUACUGGCAUUCCUGCCAGCAUCUUUCUAGUAAGCUGUCUGAAGGACAUACAGGACCACCAACGGUUUGAAUGUGCCUGCUCCAAAAUUCAGGUAUUGCCAAUGUGAUAGUAUUGAAACAGCCUCGUUACCUGUGGUAUCACCUGGAGUUCUUCAUCACAACUGAAGAAAUCAAGGAAUGUGGACUCCAGGGGUGAAGUUGGAACAGAAGUUUAAUAAAUGAAUGGAAGAGAGAAAACUCUCUGCUGCGAGAGGAGUCCUGAAAGAGGGUUUCUGUUUUAAAGUGGGAAAAAAAUUAUGAAGAAAUACAGUGUGAAGAAAAUGAAUCCACUGAAACAUCAGACUUAUGGAUCAAGUUUGACUAUAUUUAAAGUUCAUUCACAUGAUGUUUUAUUUCUCAUGUACAAGAUAACAUUAACUGUAGAAUUAAAUUCUCACAAAUUGAAUAUGCAAGAAAAACACCUAGGGAUCCUUCUUGUUAAAAUGCAGAUUUGGAUUCACGAGGUCUCUGGAGAGACCUGAAACUCUACAUAUCUGACAAGUGCUCUGUGACACCCAUGCUACGGGCCCGCAGAUCACAGCUUGGGUAGCAAGACUCCAAGGUAUGUCCUAGGUUACCUUAUAAAUCAUCCAUUAUUGCUCUUCUCCCAUCUCUUUUGCCCAUCAAGUUAGAAUAAUCAGAUUCUUUUUAUUUGUUUAUUUAUGUAUUCCAUACUAUCGCUAGCCAUAUUUGAAAUACAAAUGGACCCAAGGAAACCUCAUGGCUGACUUGGACAUUUUUAGCUGUUUAUCUUUGAGAAAAGUUAUCUUCUAAAAGAAAAACAGCAAAUAAAAACAAACUCACAACUCUGUGUCA